AUGCUAUCGUCGGCGGCGAGGGAGGAGACCAACGGCUGCCCGCGCGUCCCGAUCGGCGGCCGUGCCGUUCUCUCCGAGAGAGCGCCGGCUCCGGAGGGCCUCCGACCCCUUCUUCCUCCCUGUGGUAUUGUGGCCAAGAUGCGGCCUCCCGACGCCGUCUUUGCCACAUGCCGACGACCCUCAGGUAUAUAUUCCUUCGAAACCUACCUUGCUCUACUGCCCCAGCUCCCCACUUGGCUUCGUGUGGAUCUUUUUCUACUUCUGUCCGCUGUUCCAAAGCCACCUAGACUUUUACUAUUUUUAGAGGUAAAGCUAGUUCAUACAGUCGACUCUAAGAGUUGGUUCAAACAGGGAAGAAAGUGGGAAAGCUGUAGCAUGAAUCUAGGACUUGGUUCUAAGAGGAAAUGGGGGAAAGUAGUAGAUACUGGCUACCCAACCGGACUCUUGGUUGAAAAGACGAAGAAAGCAUGGUGGAUGGCGAAGGGUGGGGGGAAGUGGACCUAUCUCUUGGUUGAAAAAGGAAAGAAAGUGACGGCUGUUGGGGGACAACGCAAAUGA
rnacentral:rRNA from 1 species